rnacentral:rRNA from 1 species
AACGAACGCUGGCGGCAUGCCUAACACAUGCAAGUCGAACGAGACCUUCGGGUCUAGUGGCGCACGGGUGCGUAACGCGUGGGAACCUGCCCUUAGGUUCGGAAUAACUCCCCGAAAGGGGUGCUAAUACCGGAUAAUGUCUUCGGACCAAAGAUUUAUCGCCUUUGGAUGGGCCCGCGUUGGAUUAGCUAGUUGGUAGGGUAAAAGCCUACCAAGGCGACGAUCCAUAGCUGGUCUGAGAGGAUGAUCAGCCACACUGGGACUGAGACACGGCCCAGACUCCUACGGGAGGCAGCAGUGGGGAAUAUUGGACAAUGGGCGAAAGCCUGAUCCAGCAAUGCCGCGUGAGUGAUGAAGGCCUUAGGGUUGUAAAGCUCUUUUACCCGGGAUGAUAAUGACCGUACCGGGAGAAUAAGCUCCGGCUAACUCCGU